AACGAACGCUGGCGGCAGGCCUAACACAUGCAAGUCGAACGCUCCGCAAGGGGAGUGGCGCACGGGUGAGUAACACGUGGGAACCUACCUUCUGGUACGGAACAACCAAGGGAAACUUUGGCUAAGACCGUAUACGACCUCCGGGUGAAAGAUUGAUCGCCGGAAGAGGGGCCCGCGUCCGAUUAGGUAGUUGGUGAGGUAACGGCUCACCAAGCCUUCGAUCGGUAGCUGGUCUGAGAGGAUGACCAGCCACACUGGGACUGAGACACGGCCCAGACUCCUACGGGAGGCAGCAGUGGGGAAUAUUGGACAAUAGGCGCAAGCCUGAUCCAGCCAUGCCGCGUGAGUGAUGAA
rnacentral:rRNA from 1 species